rnacentral:rRNA from 1 species
UGAAUACGAGAUGCUACGGCGUCGAAGCAGUCUAUGUCAUACUUCCAAGAAAAGCUUGCACUGUCAUAAACAAAUAAUGCCUGUACCAUAACCGACACAGGUGGGUAGGUAGAGUAUACUAAGGGGCGCGAGAUAACUCUCUCUAAGGAACUCGGCAAAAUGACUCCGUAACUUCGGGAGAAGGAGUGCCUUAUUUAUAAGGUUGCAAUAACAAGACCCAAGCAACUGUUUAUCAAAAACACAGGUCUCCGCUAAGUCGUAAGACGAUGUAUGGGGGCUGACGCCUGCCCAGUGCCAGAAGGUUAAAGAAGUUGGUUAGCAUUAGCGAAGCUGAUGACUGAAGCCCUGGUGAACGGCGGCCGUAACAAUAACGGUCCUAAGGUAGCGAAAUUCCUUGUCGGGUAAGUUCCGACCCGCACGAAAGGCGUAAUGAUUUGGGUACUGUCUCAGAGAGGGACUCGGUGAAAUAGACUUGUCUGUGAAGAUGCGGACUACCUGCACCUGGACAGAAAGACCCUAUGAAGCUUUACUGUAACCUGAAAUUGAAAUUGGACUUUAUUUGCGCAGUAUAGGUGGGAGGCUUUGAAGAUAUUCUUGCGGGAAUGUUGGAGCCAUCAGUGAGAUACCACUCUUGUAAUGUUAGAUUUCUAACUUUGUAUCAUUAUCUGGUCAAAGAACAGUUUCAGGCGGGCAGUUUGACUGGGGCGGUCGCCUCCUAAACGGUAACGGAGGCGCACAAAGGUUUCCUCUGAACGGGUAGAAAUCGUAUCUAGAGUGUAAAGGCAUAAGGAAGCUUGACUGUGAGACCUACAAGUCGAGCAGGGACGAAAGUCGGUCUUAGUGAUCUGACGGUGCUGAGUGGAAAGGCCGUCACUCAACGGAUAAAAGUUACUCUAGGAUAACAGGCUGAUCUCCCCCAAGAGUUCACAUCGACGGGGAGGUUUGGCACCUCGAUGUCGGCUCAUCGCAUCCUGGGGCGGUAGUACGUCCCAAGGGUUGGGCUGUUCGCCCAUGAAAGCGGUACGCGAGCUGGGUUCAGAACGUCGUGAGACAGUUCGGUCCAUAUCCGGUGUAGGCGUUAGAAUAUUGAGAGGAGCCUUCUCUAGUACGAGAGGACCGAGAAGGACACACCUCUGGUGUACCAGUUAUCGUGCCAACGGUAAACGCUGGGUAGCUAUGUGUGGAGCGGAUAACCGCUGAAAGCAUCUAAGUGGGAAGCCCACCUCAAGAUAAGUAUUCUC